AAUGUGCACAACCGGCUUACU
rnacentral:miRNA from 1 species